rfam:Toxocara canis scaffold192, whole genome shotgun sequence.
UGGGCAGUAGCUCAGUAGUAGAGCUCCCGCUUCAUAUGCGGGAAGACUUGGAUUCGAUUUCCGGCUGCGUAC